rnacentral:rRNA from 1 species
CCCUUAGAUGUUCUGGGCCGCACGCGCGCUACACUGAUGCAUUCAACGAGUCUAAAACCUGCUCUGAUAGGGGUGGGUAAUCUUUUGAAUGUGCAUCGUGAUUGGGAUAGAUGAUUGCAAUUUUUCAUCUUCAACGAGGAAUGCCUAGUAACGCAAGUCAUCAGCUUGCAUUGAUUACGUCCCUGCCCUUUGUACACACCGCCCGUCGCUCCUACCGAUUGAAUGAUCCGAUGAAUAUCAUGGAUUGAGGAUGCAAGUAGGUUCGCCUAUCUUCAUCUUCGAGAAGUGAAGUAAAUCUUAUCAUUUAGAGGAAGGAGAAGUCGUAACA